rnacentral:rRNA from 1 species
UACGAAGGGAGCUAGCGUUGUUCGGAAUCACUGGGCGUAAAGCGCACGUAGGCGGAUUUGUCAGUCAGGGGUGAAAUCCCGGGGCUCAACCUCGGAACUGCCUUUGAUACAGCAAGUCUUGAGUUCGAGAGAGGUGGGUGGAAUUCCUAGUGUAGAGGUGAAAUUCGUAGAUAUUAGGAAGAACACCGGUGGCGAAGGCGGCCCACUGGACGGUGACUGACGCUGAGACGCGAAAGCGUGGGGAGCAAACAGG